CAAGUCUCGGAAGCUGCCUUCUGUUCUCAAAUAUAUGGGAAUUCCUAUCAAGUAGAUAUGGUAGGCAAUGUAUGCGAACCUAAUACCCUGUGGGAUAGUAACUAGUCUUCUCUUGUUUCCCUUUAGAAAGGCAAGGAUAGCUUCAAUAAGGGUUGUCGACUGACUAAAGCUCAAGGUGAUCCCGGCAAGCCUCCACACCUAAGCCGCUCUCGGGCAGCAAAAUCAAACAUGCACCAUGGACUCCUCAUCCAGACAGCUAUUGAAGGCAAGAGGGAGCCUCAAUCCUCUUCUACACAACAUACCUCUGGUCGGAAGAUAACCCCAUGCCACCUUCCAUAGGAAGAGGACAACACAGAGGUGAAUGCGGAGCUUCCGGAUCCAGUCACUAUCAAUUAGCCGUGUGGGCUCAACUCUAUACAAGUCGCAUAGGUCAUUUGCUCUCACUUUCAAACUGCAUGUCGACCACCAAAUCUUUCUAUCUAAAACCCCA
rnacentral:lncRNA from 1 species